rnacentral:tRNA from 1 species
GCAGUGGCGAUUCAGUGGUAGAAUUCUCGCCUUUCAUGUGGGAGAUCCAGGUUCGAUUCUUGGCCAAUGCA